rnacentral:sRNA from 1 species
ACAAAUAUCCAUGGCUUCCAAUCCAUUGUUGAAAUGACUGAACACUAAAAAUGCUAUGAGAAUGGCAGAUUGAAUGCUUCGUUUAUUACAUUGUUGUACAAUAUAUACAUAACAAGUCAACUAUUCAACCCUACAUUAAAGGCUAGGGAACAAUAACCCAUAUUUGGGCGGCUUGAUUGUCGCAAAAUAAUGUGGGAUUUGACUCAAACCUAUUUAGGUAAAUAUAAUACAAGAUAUUUACAUAUAAUAUCGUAUAAUAUUCCCUAAUAUCCAUACCCACUAGGAACUUGAUUAUACACUUCCUUCUCAUGUUCAUAACUACCUUGCACAACUUCUUCACUUUUCUCAACUUGAUUAGGGUUUUCUUCUACUCGAUUAUGGUUUUCAUCUACUUGGCUUGGCUGAUCUUCUAUGCUCUCUUGGUGCUGCUGUUAAGCAAGAAUGAU